rnacentral:misc_RNA from 1 species
UUUCCGUAGGUGAACCUGCGGAAGGAUCAUUACAGUAGUCGCCUGGGUUGCCGCAAGGCCUCCCGGGUAACCUACCACCCUUUGUUUAUUACACUUUGUUGCUUUGGCAGGCCUGCCCUCGGGCUGCUGGCUCCGGCCGGCGAGCGCUUGCCAGAGGACCUAAUCUCUGUUUGUCUAUACUGUCUGAGUACUAUAUAAUAGUUAAAACCUUCAACAACGGAUCUCUUGGUUCUG